rnacentral:rRNA from 1 species
AUUGCCUCGGAUCAGGUAGGGAUACCCGCUGAACUUAAGCAUAUCAAUAAGCGGGAGGAA